rnacentral:rRNA from 1 species
AGUGAACGCUGGCGGUAUGCCUAACACAUGCAAGUCGAACGGCAGCACAGUAAGAGCUUGCUCUUACGGGUGGCGAGUGGCGGACGGGUGAGGAAUACAUCGGAAUCUACUUUUUCGUGGGGGAUAACGUAGGGAAACUUACGCUAAUACCGCAUACGACCUACGGGUGAAAGCAGGGGAUCUUCGGACCUUGCGCGAUUGAAUGAGCCGAUGUCGGAGUAGCUAGUUGGAGGGGUAAAGGCCCACCAAGUCGACGAUACGUAGCUGGUCUGAGAGGAUGAUACGCCACACUGGAACUGAGACACGGUCCAGACUCCUACGGGAGGCAGCAGUGGGGAAUAUUGGACAAUGGGCGCAAGCCUGAUCCAGCCAUACCGCGUGGGUGAAGAAGGCCUUCGGGUUGUAAAGCCCUUUUGUUGGGAAAGAAAAGCAGCAGGUUAAUACCCCGCUGUUCUGACGGUACCCAAAGAAUAAGCACCGGCUAACUUCGUG